rnacentral:rRNA from 1 species
CAUUACGUUGCAUACAACAACAAC